ACUGAGUCUUGGCCUUUUAGCUAAGAUCAAAAUGUAAUAUCUGUUCUUAUACGAUCCUCAUGUAAGAUCUACGAUAUUAAUCUAAUUUUUCUUUUUCUUUUUUUUUUUUUUACUAUGGCGAAGUGUUAUGGACUUGCUUUACCUUUCCUGCUCAUCGGACCGGUAUUGCAGUACUACAGGGAUACCAAUU